GACGAACGCUGGCGGCGUGCCUAAUACAUGCCAGUUGAGCGCUGAAGGUUGGUACUUGUACCAACUGGAUGAGCAGCGAACGGGUGAGUAACGCGUGGGGAAUCUGCCUUUGAGCGGGGGACAACAUUUGGAAACGAAUGCUAAUACCGCAUAAAAACUUUAAACACAAGUUUUAAGUUUGAAAGAUGCAAUUGCAUCACUCAAAGAUGAUCCCGCGUUGUAUUAGCUAGUUGGUGAGGUAAAGGCUCACCAAGGCGAUGAUACAUAGCCGACCUGAGAGGGUGAUCGGCCACAUUGGGACUGAGACACGGCCCAAACUCCUACGGGAGGCAGCAGUAGGGAAUCUUCGGCAAUGGACGAAAGUCUGACCGAGCAACGCCGCGUGAGUGAAGAAGGUUUUCGGAUCGUAAAACUCUGUUGGUGGAGAAGAACGUUGGUGAGAGUGGAAAGCUCAUCAAGUGACGGUAACUACCCAGAAAGGGACGGCUAACUACGUG
rnacentral:rRNA from 1 species